rnacentral:rRNA from 1 species
AGUGGCAGACGGGUGAGUAACACGUGGGAACAUGCCCUUCGGUUCGGAAUAACUCAGGGAAACUUGAGCUAAUACCGGAUACGUCCGCGAGGAGAAAGAUUCGUCGCCGAAGGAUUGGCUCGCGUCCGAUUAGUUAGUUGGUGUGGUAAAGGCGCACCAAGGCGGCGAUCGGUAGCUGGUCUGAGAGGACGAUCAGCCACACUGGGACUGAGACACGGCCCAGACUCCUACGGGAGGCAGCAGAGGGGAAUUUUCCGCAAUGGGCGAAAGCCUGACGGAGCAAUACCGCGUGAGGGAGGAAGGCUCUUGGGUUGUAAACCUCUUUUCUCAAGGAAUAAGAUUGAAGGUACUUGAGGAAUCAGCAUCGGCUAACUCCGUGCCAGCAGCCGCGGUAAUACGGAGGAUGCAAGCGUUAUCCGGAAUGAUUGGGCGUAAAGCGUUCGUAGGUGGCGAGCCAAGUCGGCUGUUAAAGAGUCUGGCUUAACCAGAUAAAGGCAGUGGAAACUGGAGCGCUAGAGUAUGGUAGGGGUAGAGGGAAUUCCUGGUGUAGCGGUGAAAUGCGUAGAGAUCAGGAAGAACACCGGUGGCGAAAGCGCUCUGCUGGACCAUAACUGACACUGAGGGACGAAAGCUAGGGGAGCGAAUGGGAUUAGAUACCCCAGUAGUCCUAGCCGUAAACGAUGGAUACUAGGCGUU